AGAGUAAAAGCCUACCAAGGCGACGAUCGGUAGUGGUUGAGAGGAUGAUCAGCCACAAUGGGAUGAGACACGGCCCAUACUCUACGGGAGGCAGCAGUGGGGAAUUUUACGCAAUGGGCGAAAGCCUGACGUAGGACACCGCGUGAACGAAGAAGCCUCUUGGGGUGUAAAGUUCUGUCAGCUGGAACGAAAAAAAUGACGGUACCAGCAGAGGAAGCAUCGGCUAAUACGUGCCAGCAGCCGCGGUAAGACGUAGGAUGCAAGCGUUGUCCGGAUUUAUUGGGCGUAAAGAGUUCGUAGGUGGUUUGUUAAGUUUGGUGUUAAAGAUUGGGGCUCAACCCUGAAACUGCACUGAAUACUGGCAGACUCGAGUGUGGUAGAGGCUAGUGGAAUUCCCAGUGUAGCGGUGAAAUGCGUAGAUAUUGGGAAGAACACCGGUGGCGUAGGCGACUAGCUGGGCCAUAACUGACAUGAGGAACGAAAGCCAGGGUAGCGAAUGGGAUUAGAUACCCC
rnacentral:rRNA from 1 species